AGAGUUUGAUCCUGGCUCAGAUUGAACGCUGGCGGCAGGCCUAACACAUGCAAGUCGAGCGGUAACAGAAAGUAGCUUGCUACUUUGCUGACGAGCGGCGGACGGGUGAGUAAUGCUUGGGAACAUGCCUUGAGGUGGGGGACAACAGUUGGAAACGACUGCUAAUACCGCAUAAUGUCUACGGACCAAAGGGGGCUUCGGCUCUCGCCUUUAGAUUGGCCCAAGUGGGAUUAGCUAGUUGGUGAGGUAAUGGCUCACCAAGGCGACGAUCCCUAGCUGGUUUGAGAGGAUGAUCAGCCACACUGGGACUGAGACACGGCCCAGACUCCUACGGGAGGCAGCAGUGGGGAAUAUUGCACAAUGGGCGCAAGCCUGAUGCAGCCAUGCCGCGUGUGUGAAGAAGGCCUUCGGGUUGUAAAGCACUUUCAGUCAGGAGGAAAGGUUAACGGUUAAUACCCGUUAGCUGUGACGUUACUGACAGAAGAAGCACCGGCUAACUCCGUGCCAGCAGCCGCGGUAAU
rnacentral:rRNA from 1 species